AAGGCAAAAAAGGACUAUUGCGAAGUAAAGGGUGGGGUCAAGAUUCGGGUGACGAAUAAAGGUCGAUGGCGGGAAAGGGAGGCGUGCAUGCGAGCAAUUGCCCGUCCCUUACUAUACACAGGUGCCGCCCAGAAUUUAAAAACCUCUUCUCUUCUGUUUAUGGCUUAUUAUUAUGGCCAGGAGGCGGAAGAAAUAGACUGAAUAUAAUAUGUCAUUGCCACACGAAGUGAACAAUUCGUUACGCGCCAAUGUCUCCGCGCUCUCGAAAGUUACUGCUCCCGACUUCUCUGAGUAGGGCGAGCAACGUGCCUGAAGGGAUGCUACCGCGCAUGCGUGUAGCUCAGUAGCACGCCCGCCGCGACGCCAUUUUCUGCGCCUUUUACCGCAGAGCUUUUGUGUUUCGUGAGGGCUUGUAUGGCUCAAGUGAGCAACGGAACUCGAACAAGCCCGUCAAUGGAGAAGGCCUCGGCUGCUUCCACCUGCUACUCGGGUCGUUGUUCAACUUCGUCCAAUGCGGACCUCCAGGGUCAUUACCAGUUCGGGUUGCAGCAGACCCCGGGUAGCGGCAUCCCUUCGUCUUCCUCGGGCGACGGGCCGGUUCGCCCUCAAAGAGGCAAAGGUCACAGCAGCGGCCUCACCCCGGCUUUCCUCCCACCCAGGGAGCUGGAAGAUUCAUAUUUUGGAGACAAGAGUUCAUAUACAGAAAAUAUUAGUGUGGUGAAUUUGACCAGUCCUCCUUCAAUCAGAGGUUUAAAUAUUGCUCGUGGACGAAAAACACCUCUCUCUUCUAGUAGAUCGGGAGGUAAAAACUGGACUCCUUUCAAGGGAUAUUCAGUUACAUCGUCUUCAGCAGUCUCCAUUCAUAAUGCUGCAUCUGUUAUUGUGGCUGUUAUAGAAGGGAGAGGUCUUGCCAGAGGUGAAGUAGGAAUGGCAAGUAUUGAUUUAAAAAAUCCAGAGGUUGUGCUGUCUCAGUUUGCAGACAACACAACAUAUGCUAAGGUUAUCACCAAACUCAGAAUUUUAACACCCUUAGAAAUAAUAAUGUCAAAUACUGCUUGUGAUUCAGGAAAUGCAACAAAACUGUUCAGCUUGAUAACAGAAAAUUUCAAGAAUGUGACUUUUACCACAGUCCAAAGAAAAUACUUCAAUGAAACUAAAGGCUUGGAAUAUAUUGAACAAUUAUGUACACCAGAAUUCAGCACAGUCCUAAUGGAAGUUCAGUCCAAGUAUUACUGUCUAGCAGCUGUUGCAGCCGUGCUGAAGUAUGUUGAGUUCAUUCAAAAUUCAGUUUAUGCUCCUAAGUCACUUAAGAUUCAUUUCCAUGGAAGUGAGCAAACAGCAAUGAUUGAUUCAACAUCAGCUCUAAAUCUUGAAUUAAUAACUAACAACAGAGAUCCUAGGAAUGGUCACACACUUUUUGGCGUUCUAAAUUAUACUAAAACUCCAGGGGGAAGCCGAAGACUUCGGUCUAAUAUUCUGGAGCCUCUGGUUGAUGCCAGUACCAUUAACACAAGAUUAGAUUCUGUUCAAGAGCUACUCCAAGAUGAGGAACGAUUUUUUGGUCUUCAGUCAGUUAUUUCAAGAUUUCUGGACACUGAACAAUUACUUUCAGUUUUAGUUCAAAUUCCAAAGCAGGAAAUGAUUAAUGCAUCUGAAUCGAAGAUAACAAAUCUAAUCUAUCUGAAGCAUACUCUGGAACUUGUGGAGCCUUUAAAGGAUGCUUUAAAAAACUAUACAACACCAUUGUUAAAGGCUUACUAUAGUUCUUUGGAAGAUGACAGGUUUGGAAUCAUACUUGAAAAAAUUAAAACUGUCAUUAAUGAUGAUGCAAGAUAUACAAAAGGGUGCUUGAAUAUGAGAACUCAAAAGUGCUAUGCAGUGAAGCCUAAUAUCAAUGAAUUUCUUGAUAUAGCAAGAAGAACAUAUACUGAAAUUGUGGAUGAUAUAGCAGGAAUGAUAACACAGCUUGCAGAAAAAUACAACCUUCCUUUGAAAACAAGUUUUAGCUCAGCUCGAGGAUUUUUCAUUCAGAUGAAUGCUGAUUGCGCACCAAUACACAAUGGUCAGCUGCCUUCAGAAUUUACAAAGAUUACUAAAAUGAAAAAUUUAUAUAGCUUUACUUCACCAGAUUUGAUGAAAAUGAAUGAAAGAUGUCAGGAGUCCCUGAGAGAAAUUUAUCACAUGACCUACUUGAUAGUUUGUAAACUACUGAGUGAAAUUUAUGAACAUAUUCACUGUCUGUACAAACUCUCUGACACUGUGUCUAUGCUAGAUAUGUUGCAGUCAUUUGCCAAUGCUUGCACACUUUCUGAUUAUGUGCGUCCAGAGUUUACUGACACAUUAGCAAUAAAACAAGGAUGGCAUCCUGUUCUUGAGAAGAUCUCUCUUGAGAAACCUGUUUCCAACAAUACUUACAUUACAGAGGGAAGUAAUUUUGUCAUAAUUACAGGACCAAAUAUGAGUGGAAAGUCAACCUACCUCAAACAGAUAGUCCUUUCUCAGAUUAUGGCACAAAUUGGAUCUUUUGUUCCAGCAGAAUAUUCUUCUUUCAGGAUAGCUGAGCAAAUAUUUACUAGAAUAGGUAUGGAUGAUGAUAUAGAAACAAAUUCAUCAACAUUCAUGAAGGAAAUGAAAGAGGUAACAUAUAUCAUACAAAAUGCUAAUGACAGAUCACUUAUCAUAAUUGAUGAACUUGGCAGAGGUACUAGUACUGAAGAAGGCAUUGGCAUAUGUUAUGCAGUCUGUGAAUAUCUUCUGAAUUUGAAGGCAUUUACAAUCUUUGCUACUCAUUUCUUGGAAUUAUGUCAGAUCAAUGUCUUAUAUCCCAAUGUUGAAAACAACCACUUUGAAGUGCAGCAUGUGAGAAGCAAUUCUGGAAUUAUGGAGAAAAUUGCUUAUACUUAUAUUAUUUCUAAAGGACACACAGAGGAAAAGAACUAUGGAUUAAAAGCUGCAGAGGUUUCUUCUCUUCCACCAUCGAUAAUAUUGGAUGCCAAGGAGAUCGUAACUCUUAUUGCUAGACAAAUAUUGGACUUUGAGGUCAGAAUGGGUAAAUCCAUUGUAUUUAACGUGAGCCAUCUGCAAAUCUGCUGAAUGCUUGUGAAUACAUCAGAUUUCCACAUCAUUACAAUGAAGAUGAGACCAUAAAGUCCUUGAAGGAAUUGCCUGAAGCAAAGGUCCGUGAAGUGACAAACACCUCUGAUCUCUGGAAGGCCUUUCAGGGCCCUGCAGAGAUAUUGCUGCUGGAAGGAAGAGCUGAAAAGCCCCAUGGGCACACAAAAUACAGUAUAGUGUAUGGUGCACAGAAUUUUGGGUCCUCGACAGACAGGAUAGGUGGAAAUGGUUGAGUGUGGUUGAUUGCUUCAUACUCUCUCACUGCCUAGACACUUUUAAAAACAAAGUUUCUGCAUCUGGAGCUGAGGCUGAGUAUCCCCAUUUCCCUCAAGCGGUAUUUCCCAUUACUUUUUUAAAAAAAGGCUUAAAAUUCUGUAGAUUUAAUGCUUCUCCAAAUGCUAUUUAAAAAUAAUCAUUUUAAAGUUUUUAUCAGCAUGGCAAUUCUAAUGAUCUAGAAGCACAUCUCAAACUAUAAAAUGUGUUAUUUCUCAUGUUGUACAGAAGUAUAAAAAUACUGCUAAGCACACUGCUGACAGAUCUUGAUAAGAGAAAUACUGGGAAGUUAUUUUUUUUUUGUUUUUUUUAAAGAAGAGCUUAUUUAGCUGUGCUUCAGUGCAUACAGAAAAUUACAGGCUAUUUUUAAAUAUACAUUUCAUACGUUCCAGCUUAUGAAACAACUUUGGGUUUCUAAUUCUCUUAAUAAUAAAUGUUGAGUUUGGAGUGUGGAAUUAAUUGGAGAUCCUAAUCUUGCUAGUGAUGAAUAGAAAUGAUUUCUUUUUUUCCAGGGGAAUUAGUGCUGUAUUCUCACGUCAUUGUGUGAAAAGUCCAGAUUUCUAAUUCCAAACAUAUCCCAUCAUGAGAAAUGCUAUUGGCUUUAAUGGAACAUGCUUGUUAGAGUGUUUAGGACAGUGACCAGUUACUAUUGCUCUGAGAGCCAUUUCACAGAUUUCACAGGAAUGCUCAGCAGUGUUCCCUCUAACAGAGAUUCCCAGAUGUUGUUGACUACAACUCCCAGAAUCCCAAGCUGCAACAACAUCUGGGAAUCCCUGUUAGAGGGAACACUGAUGCUCAGCACAGGGUGUAGCAAGGUUGGAGUGGGCCCUGGGACAAAAUGAGUGCACCUGUAUGAAACACAUGUUGGCAAACAUUGUGUCAUAGUCACACUUAUUUAGCACACUUAUAUUAAAGACAUGUGGACCUUUGUGGAGCAGUGGUAGUUCAGUGGUUGAGCACAUAUUCUGCAUACAGAAUGCCUGAGGUUCAACAUCUAGCCUCUCCACUGGGCUGGGCAUGGCCUCCUAUCGGAAACUCUGGAGAGCCAUUGCCAGUCAAAGCAGAUAAUGCUGACUUAAAUAAGGAGCAAUAGUCUAAGCGUGGUGUAGUGGUUAGAGUGCUGGACUAGGACCGGGGAGACCCGAGUUCAAAUCCCCAUUCAGCCAUGAAACUAGCUGGGUGACUCUGGGCCAGUCACUUCUCCACCUACUUCACAGGGUUGUUGUGAAAGAGAAACUCAAGUAUGUUGUACACCACUCUGGGCUCCUUGGAGGAAGAGCAGGAUAUAAAUGUAAUAAUAAUAAUAAUAAUAAUAAUAAUUUAUUCAUUAUAAAAUGUUAUACAUCACCCUUUUCAUGCUUCGUUCCAAGUGUAGUAUGUAAAUGUGUUCGCAGGCUCCAUCUUGUCCUAUGCACAUCCAUUACAUGCCUGAACAGAAUCCUCAGGGUUCUUCUAUAGGCAUGGAAAUUCUGUUCGGGUGUUCAAGCAAAUAUGUGUAGGUCGGGAGAGGAGAUACCCAUCCUCCUCACAUUCAGAUCUGGAUGCUGUAUUCGCAAUCUGGAUAUCUGUACCUGUAUAGUAUCCAUAAAAGAAGGCUUAUCAGCCCCCCCCCAACCCCACCACACCCACCCACCACACCCACGCACACUGACAUGCCCUGAAACCUCCCCUUCUCUGAUCACCAUGUUUACAGCAUUGGUCUGAAUAAACCAAAGCUGCACUGGAGGAGAGAUUUUCCUGUGACUGCAAAUGCCGGUGCCCAAGCAUAUGUCUCUUCAGGCAAACACUGUACUCAGUCACUAGCAGCUCACAUCAGUAGGGGGGCAAGGUGAAUAGGUGUGCUCUCAUGGAUCCUGGUUUACCACCAGUGUUCUAAGAGAGAUGCAGACCUGCUGCUGUCUUCUACUUCAAACCAGGUUGGUGCUGAUUGUGGAGGCAGGGCAUCUCCAUGCCCACUAUAACUUUUCUUAUACAUUUCCCAUCAUUUCCGAUGGGAGCAAAAUCAGAAUAGUGAUGCUGCUGCAUUGAGUAGGCAUGGAGGUGCCCUGCCUCUGCAAACAGUGCCUGCAUGCUUUUGGGUAGAAUGCAGUACUGUGUGUGCAUUCCACUUAGAAUGAUGGUGGGCUGUACGAUAUGUAAGGGCCUGUAAAGGUAAAGUGUGCCGUCAAGUCCAUUUCGACCCCUGGAGCCCACACAGCCCUGUGGUUUUCUUUUGGUAGAAUACAGGAGGGGUUUACCAUUGCCUCUUCCCACGCAGUGUAAUAUGAUGCCUUUCAGCAUCUUCCUAUAUCACUGAUGCCCAAUAUAGUACCAGUGGUGAUUCAAACUGGCAACCUUCUGCUUGUUAGUCAAUCAUUUCCCCACUUCUCCAGAUAAAUAUGGGAGGACCCCACCCACAGGUUAUCAGCAAUAUUAAUGCUGACAAUGCCAACCAUCUGGUUCGUGAAAGCCUGUGUGGAGCUCUUUAUCAGACUAUUGUCUUAUAAUGGCACAGAUUAUUUCUAUAGGUUUUUGAAGGAAAAAGAUAAUAAGGUCAUUCACAUGACUGUUUUUGGUGGGGCUGAAGUGCUCUGUGGUGGUGGUGGGGGUACAGCCUAUCUUUCCCACCCCCCACUAGCCCAUGUAGGGUUGGUUGUGAGAACCACCAGGUUUGGUCCCAGUCCCGGUACUCCUUAACCGGGUAACCCAGAUUUUGUACCUUGGCUAAAAGUGAGGGAGGAAGGCACAUGUGUGCCCUCCUCCCUCACUGCCUGGUCAUGUGGAAGCUCAGGCAUCUGGGUAGAGCUGGCCAUGAGAACAACCUCAGUGAAUUUUUGCUUGAAAUGUAGGUCAUAAAUGCCAUCAUCACAUAAAUGCCAUCAUCACCUUCAUGGCUAUAAGCCAAAAGCCAGCAUGAGCCCUUUUCAGGUAACUCUGAAUGCAACUCUGAAUGCAACUCUUUUCAGGUAACUCUGAAUGUAACUUUUCAGGUAACUCUGGAUGUCACUCUGAAUGCAACUCUGAAUGUAACUCUGAAUGCAACUCUGAAUGUAACUCUUUUCAGGUAACUCUGAAUGUAACUCUUUUCAGGUAACUCUGAAUGCAACUCUUUUCAGGUAACUCUGAAUGUAACUCUGAAUGCAACUCUGAAUGUAACUCUGAAUGCAACUCUGAAUGUAACUCUUUUCAGGUAACUCUGAAUGUAACUCUUUUCAGGUAACUCUGAAUGUAACUCUGAAUGCAACUCUUUUCAGGUAACUCUGAAUGUAACUCUGAAUGCAGCUCUUUUCAGGUAACUCUGAAUGUAACUGAAUGCAACUCUGAAUGUAACUCUGAAUGCAGCUCUUUUCAGGUAACUCUGAAUGUAACUCUGAAUGCAACUCUGAAUGUAACUCUGAAUGCAACUCUGAAUGUAACUCUUUUCAGGUAACUCUGAAUGUAACUCUUUUCAGGUAACUCUGAAUGUAACUCUGAAUGCAACUCUGAAUGUAACUCUGAAUGCAACUCUGAAUGUAACUCUUUUCAGGUAACUCUGAAUGUAACUCUGAAUGCAACUCUGAAUGUAACUCUGAAUGCAACUCUUUUCAGGUAACUCUGAAUGCAACUCUGAAUGUAACUCUGAAUGCAACUCUGAAUGUAACUCUGAAUGCAGCUCUUUUCAGGUAACUCUGAAUGUAACUCUGAAUGCAACUCUUUUCAGGUAACUCUGAAUGUAACUCUGAAUGCCCUUUUCAGGUAACUAAGGGCUGAAUGUGAUAUAAUUGAUUAACUUAUAAAACUAAUCUAGUCAUGCUGAAAGGUUUAAAACACACAAUAUGAUAAAAAGUUAAGAAGGAAUUUCCUCCCCAGCUGAAACCGUUACUUAAGUAGGAACAAAGUACAAUUAAGUUUACACAGGAAAUGAAAUGAGAAGAUACUGUUAUCAUGUAUUAAAGAGAUUACUUGCCUAUGUGAUCUGUAAUGUAUAAAAAUCUGUUGUAAAUGAUGAUCGGGGUUCUGGAAUUUGGGCACUAGCCAGCCAGAACCUUUGCUUCUGCAGAGCAAAUAAAGCCUU